AGGUAACGUCUGUUUGGUACAAUCUGGUUCACAUCAUAAUGGUUCUUUUGCCAACAGGAGCUGGUAAUCAGGAUGGCAGUGAGGCAGGCACUUGCUUGCAGAAGAACAGGCCUAGUUUUUUAAGAAGCCACAAAAGUGUCUUUGGAUGAUUAGGAUCUAAGGGGCCAACAGCUUUGCAAUAACAGCAUAAAUAUUGUGGGCUGGAUGGACAGGCACCAAAUGGGGACAUUCCAUCCUGCUGUGUGAUGAGAAAGCUGCCACUUUUGAGGCCUUCCAAAACAAAUCAACACUCCAUAUGCCAGAAGGAAAAGCCCAGGAAAGACCUAUUCCAACUGGAGAUGGUGAAUGUCAUUUCUUCAAGAAGCUGAGAUCCAGCUGGUACUGCCAGGUGGAGAGAAUACGAAGGGAGAAUGAAACAAAACUGCUCCGCUUAGGGAACUUGGAAAGGAAAUUGAAAAGGCAAGGCACAGGCUGGAAGAAAAUAUUUGAAAAAGAUUUAUGUGAACUUCUUUCUGGAUUAUACAAAAUAUUUUUAGAUAUUCUUACAACUCUAAAAUAAGAUAACUCCUUAAAAAUCUAAAUUCUACCAAAGGAGAGAUAAAGAUGACGAAUACAUUCAAAGAUGCUGAAAAUCACUUAUUUAUUAUUAGGAAGUUACAAGCUAAAGCAUAAUGAGAUACCACUACAACCUACUAAACUGACUAAAAUUAAUCAGACUAACCAGGUGUUGGCAAGAAACAGGG
rnacentral:lncRNA from 1 species